CCUACGGGAGGCUGCAGUGGGGAAUAUUGGACAAUGGGGGCAACCCUGAUCCAGCCAUGCCGCGUGUGUGAAGAAGGCCCUCGGGUUGUAAAGCACUUUCAGUGAGGAAGAACGCCUGGUGGUUAAUACCCAUCAGGAAAGACAUCACUCACAGAAGAAGCACCGGCUAACUCCGUGCCAGCAGCCGCGGUAAUACGGAGGGUGCGAGCGUUAAUCGGAAUUACUGGGCGUAAAGCGCGCGUAGGUGGCUUGAUAAGCCGGUUGUGAAAGCCCCGGGCUCAACCUGGGAACGGCAUCCGGAACUGUCAAGCUAGAGUGCAGGAGAGGAAGGUAGAAUUCCCGGUGUAGCGGUGAAAUGCGUAGAGAUCGGGAGGAAUACCAGUGGCGAAGGCGGCCUUCUGGACUGACACUGACACUGAGGUGCGAAAGCGUGGGUAGCAAACAGGAUUAGAUACCCUUGUAGUC
rnacentral:rRNA from 1 species